CGGGGAGGCACCGCUUGGACACCACCGAGGGCCUGUGGAGCAGGAGGGAAAGGAGCCCAGGGACCCAGAAAGCCUGUGCCACCGUCCGGCAUUCUGCUUCUGAAAGCGAGAAGGAAACGUUCGAGACCAUUUAUUCCCAUUUACAGAUGGAGAGAUGGAGUUUUAGACAAGGGCUGACCAAGACCCAAGUCAUAUGCCAAGCCGCACUGGCUCUCUUGGGCCUGCCUGGGAUGGAGGGGAGCAAGACCACAACGCAGGCCUGACAGACUUCUUGACUGCCAUCUUGGACACCCUAAGUACUGCCCUACCACCAGCUUGGCAACUCCUCCACUGACAAGACAU